rnacentral:rRNA from 1 species
CCCUUAGAUGUUCUGGGCCGCACGCGUGCUACACUGAGUGGAUCAGCGGGUCAGGUUGCGCGAAAGUGUUUCCUAAUCUUGAAAUCCGCUCGUGAUGGGGAUUGACGGUUGCAAUUUUCCGUCAUGAACGAGGAAUACCUUGUAAGCGCGGGUCAUCAUCCCGCGCUGAAUACGUCCCUGCCCUUUGUACACACCGCCCGUCGCUCCUACCGAUUGAGUGGUCCGGUGAGGGUUUGGGAUCUGAGCGGAAAGAGCGUUUCGCUGUUUCUGCUCGGAAAACUCAGUCGAACCUUAUCAUUUAGAGGAAGGAGAAGUCGUAACA